GCGGUUGUAGUACAAUGGCAGUACACGACCUUCCCAAGGUUGAGACGUGGGUUCGAUUCCCAUCAGCCGCU
rnacentral:tRNA from 1 species